rnacentral:rRNA from 1 species
UACGGGGGGAGCAAGCGUUGUUCGGAUUUACUGGGCGUAAAGGGCGCGUAGGCGGUCGUGACAAGUCACUUGCGAAAUCUCCGGGCUUAACUCGGAACGGUCAAGUGAUACUGUCGGACUAGAGUACAGAAGGGGCAACUGGAAUUCCUGGUGUAGCGGUGAAAUGCGCAGAUAUCAGGAGGAACACCGGUGGCGAAGGCGGCCUUCUGGACAGUGACUGACGCUGAGAUGCGAAAGCGUGGGGAGCAAACAGG